rnacentral:rRNA from 1 species
UACGAAGGGGGCUAGCGUUGCUCGGAAUGACUGGGCGUAAAGGGCGCGUAGGCGGCUCAUACAGUCAGAUGUGAAAUUCCUGGGCUUAACCUGGGGGCUGCAUUUGAUACGUGUGGGCUUGAGUGGGGAAGAGGGUCGUGGAAUUCCCAGUGUAGAGGUGAAAUUCGUAGAUAUUGGGAAGAACACCGGUGGCGAAGGCGGCGACCUGGUCCUUGACUGACGCUGAGGCGCGAAAGCGUGGGUAGCAAACAGG